rnacentral:rRNA from 1 species
AACGAACGCUGGCGGCAUGCCUAACACAUGCAAGUCGAACGAGACCUUCGGGUCUAGUGGCGCACGGGUGCGUAACGCGUGGGAACCUGCCCUUAGGUUCGGACUAACUCCCCGAAAGGGGUGCUAAUACCGGAUAAUGUCUUCGGACAAAGAUUUAUCGCCUUUGGAUGGGCCCGCGUUGGAUUAGCUAGUUGGUAGGGUAAAAGCCUACCAAGGCGACGAUCCAUAGCUGGUCUGAGAGGAUGAUCAGCCACACUGGGACUGAGACACGGCCCAGACUCCUACGGGAGGCAGCAGUGGGGAAUAUUGGACAAUGGGCGAAAGCCUGAUCCAGCAAUGCCGCGUGAGUGAUGAAGGCCUUAGGGUUGUAAAGCUCUUUUACCCGGGAUGAUAAUGACAGUACCGGGAGAAUAAGCUCCGGCUAACUCCGUG